rnacentral:rRNA from 1 species
UGGGGAAUAUUGGACAAUGGGCGCAAGCCUGAUCCAGCCAUGCCGCGUGAGUGAUGAAGGCCCUAGGGUUGUAAAGCUCUUUCACCGGUGAAGAUAAUGACGGUAACCGGAGAAGAAGCCCCGGCUAACUUCGUGCCAGCAGCCGCGGUAAUACGAAGGGGGCUAGCGUUGUUCGGAUUUACUGGGCGUAAAGCGCACGUAGGCGGACUAUUAAGUCAGGGGUGAAAUCCCGGGGCUCAACCCCGGAACUGCCUUUGAUACUGGUAGUCUUGAGUUCGAGAGAAGUGAGUGGAAUUCCGAGUGUAGAGGUGAAAUUCGUAGAUAUUCGGAGGAACACCAGUGGCGAAGGCGGCUCACUGGCUCGAUACUGACGCUGAGGUGCGAAAGCGUGGGGAGCAAACAGG